rnacentral:rRNA from 1 species
AGAGUUUGAUCCUGGCUCAGAUUGAACGCUGGCGGCAUGCCUUACACAUGCAAGUCGAACGGCAGCGCGGGGCAACCUGGCGGCGAGUGGCGAACGGGUGAGUAAUAUAUCGGAACGUACCCUAGAGUGGGGGAUAACGUAGCGAAAGUUACGCUAAUACCGCAUACGAUCUAAGGAUGAAAGUGGGGGAUCGCAAGACCUCCAUGCUCGUGGAGCGGCCGAUAUCUGAUUAGCUAGUUGGUGGGGUAAAGGCCUACCAAGGCAUCGAUCAGUAGCUGGUCUGAGAGGACGACCAGCCACACUGGAACUGAGACACGGUCCAGACUCCUACGGGAGGCAGCAGUGGGGAAUUUUGGACAAUGGGCGCAAGCCUGAUCCAGCAAUGCCGCGUGAGUGGAGAAGGCCUUCGGGUUGUAAAGCUCUUUUGUCAGGGAAGAAA